rnacentral:rRNA from 1 species
UGUAACCUACCUUGUUCAGGGGGAUAGCCUCUCGAAAGAGAGAUUAAGACCGCAUAACAUCAUUGAGCAGCAUUGCCCGAUGAUCAAAUAUUUAUAGGAACAAGAUGGGCAUGCGGGACAUUAGCUAGUUGGCGGGGUAACGGCCCACCAAGGCGACGAUGUCUAGGGGAUCUGAGAGGAUGACCCCCCACACUGGUACUGAGACACGGACCAG